UGAGCGCUGGGUCCCGCGCGUCAGCGACCGCCGGACGGGGCCCGCCAUUUUAAGUGGAGACGGACAACAGAAGAUCUGCCUCCCCAAGGCGAAGGCACACUUUGGUAAAGCCGCCAUCGACGUCACCUCCUAUGCCCGCGUAACCGAGCCGCUGGGUCGGCCCACUGCUAUUCCGCGCUCAGUGCGCGCUGUCGCCGCCCAGGUCCAGCCCGUUUGGGUAAAAACCUUUUCCUUUUUCUUUUCUGUACAAUUUGUAAAAUCCAUAAAUAAUUCGAAUUAACUCCAAACUUGAUGAUUCAACUUUCUAGUAGUUUCUAAAUUCAUGCCCUAUCUCAUGGUGCUAUUUGCACAUUUUUUCCAGAAAUAUUUCUUUCACAAAUAAUUAUCAAAUACCAUUUUUCCAUUUCUUUAAUAAACUUUAGAAACUCACAGAGGGCUCAGAUUUGAUCCAAAUGCCAGGAUUCAAAUUCCUGGAUGCUUCUAAGUUCAUAACUUAGUUUAUGAACAUUUUUCUUAAUACUUUUUGUACCACACAAUAUAAUGAGCCAUUUCUUCAUAUUUAUCAACUUUGCAAAUUCAUAGGAAAUUCAUUUGAACUCCAAAUCCAGUGAAACCAACUCCUAGAUGCUUCUAAAAUCAUGAUUUGUUAAAUGGGUGCCUUUGCUCAUUUUUCAAAAAUAUAUUUAUGUACACUUGUUGCAAAUCCAUAAAUCCAUUGAUUCUAUCAUAUUGAAAUACUCAAAAAUAUCCACUGAUCCAGUCCCAAUGAAACCACUCUGAUUAUUUUCUAUAUAACCAGAGAAGUCCUAGAAAAGCCAACUUCAUAUUUUUAGAGCACUUUUACUUUUGCCUGGUUGUGUUCCUUAUUGUGUUUGUUUCUGACAUUAGUUGACGAAGUAGACGGAGUACUUGGAGAAGGACCAGAAGAAUUCAAGACUCUGAUGAAACCAGGCAAGCAGCCCUUUGGCCAUGUCUAUGAAACCCUUUUUAUGCAUGUCAUAUAGCACUUUAUUAGUGUUGCAUCGGAAUCAUGACGAGAUGGUAACCACUUUGGUGGGUUGCCUUCGUUACUUCCUCGUUGAUACUUGCAUUAUGCAUGACCCUACCUUCUUAUGAGGGUUAUGCCGGUGGGAGUAGAUAGGAUGCUAAAGUAGUGGUACGCAAAAGGGGAUGGGUAUAUGCAUGGUGAUGGAAGCAAAAUUAUUUUCAAAGACUUUUCGAAAACCCCGUCGGGUGCCACUUAUGCCCGAAGGAGAUGAUGAGUUGGGUAACCACUUGAUGACGAAGUGUUGUACUGAGGCAAGUGUGUGUGUUGUUUUUAAAACGGAUUGGUUUAAGUUGCGACCGUUAUUCCAACCUUACAUGCGCAACCACUCUACCCUUAUAUGGGAAAGGGCAUUAUUGAUUACCUAGGCCGAUACUAGCUUGGAGCCUGCAUUACUAGUGACGGGAGAGUUGUUAUCGCGCUCUCUCGGGACGGGGUCGUGCCAGGUAGGGCGGCCAUGACUAUUUUCACAGGGCACCGGACACACCAUUGGUACCCCGUGCUUGUGGUAUGUGCUGAAUAUGGGAGCGAGGCUCCACAAUUUUAAGAUGUGAAAUGUUGGGCACGGGGGUUACUACCAAUCGAGUGGACUCUAUGUUAGUGUCGUCUAGGGAAAGAUAGUGAUCGGGUGCUUACCCCGGGUACUUGAGGUACCGCGGGUCGUGGAUGACACGGAAGUUCCCCGGAUCUUGUGGGUAAAGUGUGCAACCUCUGCAGAGUGUAAAACUAUUCGAAUAGCCGUGUACACGGUCAAGGACUGUUAGGUAACCGCUCUUGGGCUACGUCCACAUGUUUACAAACCAGUGGGUGUGUUUGGAUAAGUGGGAAGAACUACUUGGGUCAAGUCAAAGGACUUGACAUGAUUGAGUUGGGUUGAUGCCCACUCCAUUUAUGUUGAUAUCUGUAACCAGUCACUAUGGUUACUUGAAUUCGUAUGAUGCAUGUUUUACCAAUUGUUGAACAUGUCAAAGCACAACAAAACUAGCUUUCUGCAAAAAUUUACCUAUAUCAUGCAUUGUUGUAUCUUGAACCAAAACAUGGGUUGCUUGCGAGUACAUUCAAAGUACUCAUUGGCUUGCCACUGGUUAUUUUAUUGGCCAGGCAUGAAAGAACAGGAUAUAAUGAAGAGUACCUUGGUGACGAACUUGCGAGCUAGGACGCUUCCCAGUCAGAAUGCCUGUAGGGUUAAGGCAGAUGGCAUGGGUCCAAGUUAUCGACGAAGAUUUCCGCUGCGAAGUUAUACUCAAGACUUGACCAUAAUGGUCAUAAUUUAUGUAAGACGGUAUGUAUGGAUGUAAGACUCUUGUUAUACAGCUUCUGUGUGUUCAGUGAGCAUUGAUCUCUGG
rnacentral:lncRNA from 1 species